rnacentral:rRNA from 1 species
CUUUACUUAACCCAAGUCGAUUUAACUGAACCUUCUAUCAAAUCCUGAAAUUUCUAACUUUUAAAACAGCAUCUAAUUCAACCUUUAAAAGUCUAUGUGUAAUUUGAAUUUUUAAUGUAGUUUAGUAUUUAACAACCAUAAAUAGGACCAAUUAAAAUUAAUCAAAUCGGGGGUUGUCGAAUUUAAAUUAGAUUCUCUGAUUAGGGACAGCAACAGCCAAUUACUUUAAGUUUUUAAAUAAUACUUAAAUUAUGAUAGUAUUUAGGUUCUAAUCUAAUUUCUUAGUUGCUUUGAAUUUACCAAUUUUAAAUUAAUCUAUUGAACCAAUUAAAUUACAAACUAGUUUACGAAUUGAAUUAUUUAUUCUAUGAUAAAGUG